rnacentral:rRNA from 1 species
UACAGAGGUCCCAAGCGUUGUUCGGAUUCAUUGGGCGUAAAGGGUGCGUAGGCGGCGCGGUAAGUCGGGUGUGAAAUCUCGGAGCUUAACUCCGAAACUGCAUUCGAUACUGCCGUGCUUGAGGACUGGAGAGGAGACUGGAAUUUACGGUGUAGCGGUGAAAUGCGUAGAUAUCGUAAGGAAGACCAGUGGCGAAGGCGGGUCUCUGGACAGUUCCUGACGCUGAGGCACGAAGGUCAGGGGGGCAAACGGG